rnacentral:misc_RNA from 1 species
CUCGAGUUUUACAAACUCCCAAACCCCAUGUGAAACGUUACCAUAACUGUUUGCCUUCGGCGGGAUCUACUGCCCCGGGUGCGUCCCCCGUGCCCCGGAACCAGGGCGCCCCGCCGGAGGACCAAUCCAAAACUCUUUUAUACCCCUCCGGUUUUUUAUCUAGCUGAGGCCAUCUCGUCUGCCCUCGUGGGCGUUUUAACGAAAAAUGAAUCAA